rnacentral:rRNA from 1 species
AUUGGGAGACCGCCUGGGAAUACCAGGUGCUGUAAGUCUUUUC